AGUGAACGCUGGCGGUAGGCCUAACACAUGCAAGUCGAACGGCAGCACAGUAAGAGCUUGCUCUUACGGGUGGCGAGUGGCGGACGGGUGAGGAAUAUAUCGGAAUCUACUUUUUCGUGGGUGAUAACGUAGGGAAACUUACGCUAAUACCGCAUACGACCUACGGGUGAAAGCAUGGGAUCUUCGGACCUUGCGCGAUUGAAUGAGCCGAUGUCGGAUUAGCUAGUUGGCGGGGUAAAGGCCCACCAAGGCGACGAUCCGUAGCUGGUCUGAGAGGAUGAUCAGCCACACUGGAACUGAGACACGGUCCAGACUCCUACGGGAGGCAGCAGUGGGGAAUAUUGGACAAUGGGCGCAAGCCUGAUCCAGCCAGACCGCGUGGGUGAAGAAGGCCUUCGGGUUGUAAAGCCCUUUUGUUGGGAAAGAAAAGCAGCAGGUUAAUACCCCGCUGUUCUGACGGUACCCAAAGAAUAAGCACCGGCUAACUUCGUG
rnacentral:rRNA from 1 species